rnacentral:rRNA from 1 species
GACAGAGGGUGCAAACGUUGUUCGGAAUCACUGGGCGUAAAGCGCGUGUAGGCGGCAAUGCAAGUCGGAUGUGAAAUCCCCGCGGCUCAACCGUGGAAGUGCACCCGAAACUGCAUAGCUAGAGUGUCGGAGAGGAAGGUGGAAUGCUUGGUGUAGAGGUGAAAUUCGUAGAUAUCAAGCGGAACACCGGUGGCGAAGGCGGCCUUCGUGGACGACGACUGACGCUGAGACGCGAAAGCGUGGGUAGCAAACAGG